rnacentral:rRNA from 1 species
AAGAAACUAACCAGGAUUUCCCUAGUAACGGCGAGCGAACCGGAAAGAGCCCAGCUUGAAAAUCGUGGUGCCUCGCACCUCGAGUUGUAGUCUGGAGAAGGUCCCUCUGCAGCGCGCCGGACCCAAGUUCCCUGGAAAGGGACGUCAUCGAGGGUGACAACCCCGUCCGCGCCCGGAACGCGUCGCUCCACGAGGACCUGUCUGCGAGUCGGGCUGUUUGGGAAUGCAGCCCUAAUCGGGAGGUAAAUUCCUUCUAAGGCUAAAUAUGGGCAAGAGACCGAUAGCGAACAAGUACCGCGAGGGAAAGAUGAAAAGGACUUUGAAAAGAGAGUUAAAAAGUGCUUGAAAUUGCUGGGAGGGAAGCGAAUGGAAGCUGCGGGUGCGCCCCGGUUGGAUGUGGAACGGCUUCGGCUGGUCCGCCGCUCAACGCGGGGCGCUGGUCAGCGUGGGCCACGGCGCCGGGACAAGAGCGGGGAUUCGCUUCCCGCCUAUGCCGGUGCGGUGGCCGAGGAACGAAGCGCGCGCCUUCGGCGUGGGUUCGCCCCAACUGCGCGCUCGGGACGCUGGCGUAUUGAGCUCUUCAUCCGACCCGUCUUGAAACACGGACCAAGGAGUCUAACAUGUAUGCGAGCCGGUGGGCGGCAAACCCAUUGAGGCGCAAGUAAACUGACAGGUGGGACCCCGACCGCAAGGGAGGGAGCACCAUCGACCGACCGUGAUCUUCUGUGAAAGGUUUGAGUGUGAGCAUACCUGUUGGGACCCGAAAGAUGGUGAACUAUGCCUGAGCAGGGCGAAGCCAGAGGAAACUCUGGUGGAGGCUCGUAGCGAUACUGACGUGCAAAUCGUUCGUCAGACUUGGGUAUAGGGGCGAAAGACUAAUCGAACCAUCUAGUAGCUGGUUCCCUCCGAAGUUUCCCUCAGGAUAGCUGGAGCUCGUGUACAAGUUUUAUCAGGUAAAGCGAAUGAUUAGAGGCAUCGGGGGUGUAACACCCUCGACCUAUUCUCAAACUUUAAAUAGGUAAGCCGCCGGGGUUGCUUGGUUGAACCCCGGCACAGAAUGAGAGCUC